rnacentral:tRNA from 1 species
GUGGCCAUAGCUCAGCUGGUUAGAGUGUUGGAUUGUGAUUCCGAAGGUCGUCGGUUCGACCCCGACUGGUCACCCCA